ACGGCUCAGUAACACGUGGAUAACCNGCCCUUGGGUCCGGCAUAACCCCGGGAAACUGGGGAUAAUUCCGGAUAACGCACAUAUGCUGGAAUGCUUUAUGCGUAAAAUGGAUUCGUCUGCCCAAGGAUGGGUCUGCGGCCUAUCAGGUAGUAGUGGGUGUAAUGUACCUACUAGCCAACAACGGGUACGGGUUGUGAGAGCAAGAGCCCGGAGAUGGAUUCUGAGACAUGAAUCCAGGUCCUACGGGGCGCAGCAGGCGCGAAAACUUUACAAUGCGGGAAACCGUGAUAAGGGGACACCGAGUGCCAGCAUCAUAUGCUGGCUGUCCAGGUGUGUAAAAUACACCUGUUAGCAAGGGCCGGGCAAGACCGGUGCCAGCCGCCGCGGUAACACCGGCGGCCCGAGUGGUGAUCGUGAUUAUUGGGUCUAAAGGGUCCGUAGCCGGUUUGGUCAGUCCUCCGGGAAAUCUGAUAGCUCAACUAUUAGGCUUUCGGGGGAUACUGCCAGGCUUGGAACCGGGAGAGGUAAGAGGUACUACAGGGGUAGGAGUGAAAUCUUGUAAUCCCUGUGGGACCACCUGUGGCGAAGGCGUCUUACCAGAACGGGUUCGACGGUGAGGGACGAAAGCUGAGGGCACGAACCGGAUUAGAUACCCGGGUAGUCCCAGCCGUAAACGAUGCUCGCUAGGUGUCAGGCAUGGCGCGACCGUGUCUGGUGCCGCAGGGAAGCCGUGAAGCGAGCCACCUGGGGAAGUACGGCCGCAAGGCUGAAACUUAAAGGAAUUGGCGGGGGAGCAC
rnacentral:rRNA from 1 species